CUUUCCCUCUGGCGGCAGGCCUAACACAUGCAAGUCGAGCGGAUGAAGGGAGCUUGCUCCUGGAUUCAGCGGCGGACGGGUGAGUAAUGCCUAGGAAUCUGCCUGGUAGUGGGGGAUAACGUCCGGAAACGGGCGCUAAUACCGCAUACGUCCUGAGGGAGAAAGUGGGGGAUCUUCGGACCUCACGCUAUCAGAUGAGCCUAGGUCGGAUUAGCUAGUUGGUGGGGUAAAGGCCUACCAAGGCGACGAUCCGUAACUGGUCUGAGAGGAUGAUCAGUCACACUGGAACUGAGAGACGGUCCAGGCGCCUACGGGAGGCAGCAGUGGGGAAUAUUGGACAAUGGGCGAAAGCCUGAUCCAGCCAUGCCGCGUGUGUGAAGAAGGUCUUCGGAUUGUAAAGCACUUUAAGUUGGGAGGAAGGGCAGUAAGUUAAUACCUUGCUGUUUUGACGUUACCAACAGAAUAAGCACCGGCUAACUUCGUG
rnacentral:rRNA from 1 species